UGGGGAAUAUUGCACAAUGGGCGAAAGCCUGAUGCAGCAACGCCGCGUGAGUGAUGAAGGUCUUCGGAUUGUAAAGCUCUGUCUUUUGGGACGAUAAUGACGGUACCAAAGGAGGAAGUCACGGCUAACUACGUGCCAGCAGCCGCGGUAAUACGUAGGUGGCGAGCGUUGUCCGGAUUUACUGGGCGUAAAGGGUGCGUAGGCGGAUGUUUAAGUGAGAUGUGAAAUACCCGGGCUUAACUUGGGUGCUGCAUUUCAAACUGGAUAUCUAGAGUGCAGGAGAGGAGAAUGGAAUUCCUAGUGUAGCGGUGAAAUGCGUAGAGAUUAGGAAGAACACCAGUGGCGAAGGCGAUUCUCUGGACUGUAACUGACGCUGAGGCACGAAAGCGUGGGUAGCAAACAGGAUUAGAUACCCUGGUAGUCCACGCCGUAAACGAUGAGUACUAGGUGUAGGAGGUAUCGACCCCCUUCUGUGCCGC
rnacentral:rRNA from 1 species